GACGGAGGGUGCAAGCGUUGUUCGGAAUUACUGGGCGUAAAGCGCGUGUAGGUGGCUGGGUAAGUCGGAUGUGAAAGCCCCGGGCUCAACCCGGGAAUGGCGUCCGAAACUGCCUCGCUAGAGUCUCGGAGAGGAAGGCAGAAUUCCCAGUGUAGGGGUGAAAUCCGUAGAUACUGGGAGGAAUACCGGUAGCGAAGGCGGCCUUCUGGACGAUGACUGACACUGAGACGCGAAAGCGUGGGGAGCAAACAGG
rnacentral:rRNA from 1 species